rnacentral:lncRNA from 1 species
UAGUCCCAGCUACUUGGGAGGCUGGAGCAGGAGAAUCGCUUGACCCUGGAGGCGGAGGUUGCAGUGACCCGAGAUCCCACCACUGCACUCCAGCCUGGGCGACAGAGUGAGACUCCGUCUCAAAAAAAAAAAAAAAGUUCACAUUUCUUUCCUGCCCACUACUUUGUCCUUCCUUAGAAGGGUAGUACACAAUGAUGGGAUUUUGUCUUCCAAGAUGGCAUGCAGCAAAGAAAUAAAUGGACAAACCUAAAGAAAAAUCAAAUGGAUUUUCAAGAAAUAUCCUGUCUGCUUUCUGUAGGGAGAUUCCAGGGAAAUUCACUUCAGUGUAGGCAGAAUAGCCUAGGGGAAUUUUGACUUCUGUGUCUAUGAUUGAAGGUAGUGGAAAUGAUGACUCCACCGUGCAGAGAAAUAGCAAGGGAGUUUCUGUAUUCCUUUCUGGCAUAAGUAGUUCAGGACAAUUCCACAGUACUGUCCCAAACCCUAAUGAAGAAACAUCCCAUGCCAGCAUCUCAGUGGCCUUACAUUGAAUAAAUCAGCUUUAGAAUACCUGGUAUACGUGGACCCUCAAAAAUAAGCAUAUCCUUUGGUCUCUGUUUUUGCAUUCUCAGCUACAUCACGUCUGAACUUAAUCCUGUUGAUUCACAUGAAGACUGACAAAUGAUGUACACCCACACACACACAAACACACACACACUUCAAGUAAGGAGUCGUGGAGCACCCACAGCUGACUUAAUUCAAUCCAAAUCAAGUGACACCUUGUAACGCUUUUUCUCCCUCUCCAUGCAUAAGUUCUUCCCACUUGAAAACACACCAGGCCCCAGAAGUCCCGCAAACAUGGUAUGCUUCCAUCUCAGGAAGCUGGAGUCAACUUAUUUUCUAGAGUACUUUUUUUGGUUAUUGAAAUCUUAAUGCAAAAGCCAUUAUAGUGACUAUUUUGAAAUGCGUGCAUUGCAUAAACUGUAUAUUUCACCUCUAUUACUAGAAAGCAAUUAACAGAUCUUGGCUUUUAUCCAUGUUCCUCCACAUCAUGCAUGUGAAGACCUUCUGUGGAACUGAAAACCAGUGAUCAUUUAAGCCAAAAUGUCUGCGAGCAUAAAUCACGUCCUUCCUCAGAAGGCACAUGGUAUUGUAUUCUGGUAGAACACGUCAUCUACAUGACACCCGUUGCUGUUCCCUAGUCCUGCUUUCUUAAGGAUUUGUUGGGAUUGUGUUUUGUUUGGAAAUUUUGCAAUUAGAAGAAUAAAAAUUAAAUUUAUGAAUCAGAAUUUAAUAUAAGCUGCAUGUUUUUAAAGGCAAUUUAGAGGAUGUGAUG